rnacentral:rRNA from 1 species
UACGGAGGGUGCAAGCGUUAAUCGGAAUUACUGGGCGUAAAGCGCACGCAGGUGGCUGAGUCAGUCGAUUGUGAAAGCCCUGGGCUUAACCUGGGAAUUGCAGUCGAUACUACUCAGCUAGAGUAUGGGAGAGGGUAGUGGAAUUCCCGGUGUAGCGGUGAAAUGCGUAGAUAUCUGGAGGAACACCGGUGGCGAAGGCGGCAUCCUGGGCCGGUAUUGACGCUGAGGCGCGAAAGCCAGGGGAGCAAACGGG